CCCUUAGAUGUUCUGGGCUGCACGCGCGCUACACUGACACACUCAGCGAGUCUCCUGGUCCGAGAGGAUUGGGUAAUCAUGUGAGCGCGUGUCGUGAUGGGGAUAGAAUAUUGUAAUUAUUACUCUUCAACGAGGAAUUCCUAGUAAGCGCGAGUCAUUAGCUUGCGCUGAUUAAGUCCCUGCCCUUUGUACACACCGCCCGUCGCUCCUACCGAUUGAAUGCUCAGGUGAGCCAUUCGGACCUUCAUCAUGCCGGUUUCCGGUUUUGAUGAGGGAAAGUCUUGCGAACCUUAUCAUUUAGAGGAAGGAGAAGUCGUAACA
rnacentral:rRNA from 1 species